GUUGAACGCUGGCGGCAGGCUUAACACAUGCAAGUCGAGCGGAGAUGAGGUGCUUGCACCCUAUCUUAGCGGCGGACGGGUGAGUAAUGCUUAGGAAUCUGCCUAUUAGAGGGGGACAACAUUCCGAAAGGAAUGCUAAUACCGCAUACGACCUACGGGGGAAAGCAGUGGAUCUUCGGACAUUGCGCUACUAGAUGAUCCUAAGUCGGAUUAGCUAGUUGGUGGGGUAAAGGCCUACCAAGGCGACGAUCUGUAGCGGGUCUGAGAGGAUGAUCCGCCACACUGGGACUGAGACACGGCCCAGACUCCUACGGGAGGCAGCAGUGGGGAAUAUUGGACAAUGGGCGGAAGCCUGAUCCAGCCAUGCCGCGUGUGUGAAGAAGGCCUUUUGGUUGUAAAGCACUUUAAGCGAGGAGGAGGCUACCUGGAUUAAUACUCUAGGAUAGUGGACGGUACUCGCAGAAUAAGCACCGGCUAACUCUGUGCCAGCAGCCGCGGUAAAAC
rnacentral:rRNA from 1 species